rnacentral:rRNA from 1 species
AGGAAAGUAGGGGAUCGUAAGACCUUGCGCUUUUGGAGCGGCCGAUGUCUGAUUAGCUAGUUGGUGAGGUAAAGGCUUACCAAGGCUUCGAUCAGUAGCUGGUCUGAGAGGACGACCAGCCACACUGGGACUGAGACACGGCCCAGACUCCUACGGGAGGCAGCAGUGGGGAAUUUUGGACAAUGGGGGCAACCCUGAUCCAGCCAUGCCGCGUGAGUGAAGAAGGCCUUCGGGUUGUAAAGCUCUUUCAGCCGGAACGAAAAGGUUACGGUUAAUACCCGUGACUAAUGACGGUACCGGAAGAAGAAGCACCGGCUAACUACGUGCCAGCAGCCGCGGUAAUACGUAGGGUGCGAGCGUUAAUCGGAAUUACUGGGCGUAAAGCGUGCGCAGGCGGUUUUGUAAGUCAAGAUGUGAAAUNCCCCGGGCUUAACCUGGGAACUGCGUUUGAAACUACAAAGCU